AGUGUAAAGCUGAGAUUGAUCAAUGUACUCUAAGCUAACUUAGGACUGUGCUCUAGACCUGGUGUAUUCCUAAGGGAAUAGAGAGCCAACAGGUGAAUCACAAGAAGCAACUACCUAAACAAAGUUGAGAAUCUGAGGGUAUCCUACCAAACCUAUCCUGUCCUGUUUGAAGAAUUCCAGGCCAAGAAAAGUGAUGCACAGACUUCUACACUCUCUGCACAUUUAGUUGUUUUUAAAUGUCUAAAAUUGUUUGAAAAAGUUUAAUUGCUUACUGGUACCGUGUAUAUGCAUAUAUCCACAUUUCAACAAUGACAAAGCAAUUUAUUCCCAAUUCAAUAAAACAAUGUAUCAGUGUU